rnacentral:lncRNA from 1 species
UAUUAUUAUUUUUUGUAUAUUUGAGAUGUUACUGGGGAAACUCAUAGCCCUGAAUUUAGGGAUGUCAAUGGGUAUGGAUAUCCGAAAUUUUAUUCGAAUCUGAACCCGAAUAAAACAGAUAAUAUCUGAUAGAUAUGGAUAUGGAUUCGGAUAUUGAUAUAAAAAAUAAAAAUCCGACGGAUAUGGAUUCGGAUAUGGAUUUUGAUUGUACGCGACCCGAACCCGAAUUUAUUUUGUAUUAUAUAUAAUAUAUAUAUAAAAAAAUUGAUGUUAUAUUUGAAUUUNUUUGGCCAGGUUCAGGUUUGGAUAUGGAUUUUUAAAAUCCGUCGGAUUCGGAUUCGGAUUCGGGUCUCGGGUUUGGAGUCGGGUUCGGGUUCGGAUUUUUAAAAAAUCUGCCCCGAAUCCGACCCGUUGACAUCUCUACCUGAACUUGAGUUGGUAAACACGUGGUAUUG